CCUACGGGUGGCAGCAGUGAGGAAUAUUGGUCAAUGGACGGAAGCCUGAACCAGCCAAGUAGCGUGCAGGAUGACGGCCCUACGGGUUGUAAACUGCUUUUAUACGGGAAUAACGCGCCUUACGUGUCUGGCUUUGCAUGUACCGUAUGAAUAAGGCCCGGCUAAUUCCGUUCCAGCAGCCGCGGUAAUACGGAAGGUCCGGGCGUUGUCCGGAUUUAUUGGGUUUAAAGGGAGCGUAGGCCGCAGGUCAAGCGUGCUGUGAAAUGUCCGGGCUCAACCCGGGCCUUGCAGCGCGAACUGGCGUGCUGGAGUCCGCGGAAGGCAGGCGGAAUUCGGCGUGUAGCGGUGAAAUGCUUAGAUA
rnacentral:rRNA from 1 species